AACUGGUUGGCUCAGUCAGUAGAGCAUGUGACUCUUGAUCCUCAGGGUCGUGGGUUCAAGCCCCAUAUUGGAUG
rnacentral:tRNA from 1 species